UGGGGAAUAUUGGACAAUGGGCGCAAGCCUGAUCCAGCCAUGCCGCGUGAGUGAUGACGGCCUUAGGGUUGUAAAGCUCUUUCGCUCGGGACGAUAAUGACGGUACCGAGAUAAGAAGCCCCGGCUAACUUCGUGCCAGCAGCCGCGGUAAUACGAAGGGGGCUAGCGUUGUUCGGAAUUACUGGGCGUAAAGCGCGUGUAGGCGGGUCUUUAAGUCAGGGGUGAAAUGCCAAGGCUCAACCUUGGAACUGCCUUUGAUACUGGAGAUCUUGAGUCCGGGAGAGGUGAGUGGAACUGCGAGUGUAGAGGCGAAAUUCGUAGAUAUUCGCAAGAACACCAGUGGCGAAGGCGGCUCACUGGCCCGGUACUGACGCUGAGAUGCGAAAGCGUGGGGAGCAAACAGGAUUAGAUACCCUGGUAGUCCACGCUGUAAACGAUGGAUGCUAGCCGUUAGGCAGCUUGCUGCUUAGUGGCGCAGUUAACACUUUAAGCAUCCCGCCUGGGGAGUACGGUCGCAAGAUUA
rnacentral:rRNA from 1 species